rnacentral:sRNA from 1 species
GCCAUCUGUCCUGGACAACUUUGCCUUGCUUUCUGGACAGCUGAACACUCUGAACAAGGUCUUGAAGCAUGAAAAAACACCGCUGUUCCGUAACCAGGUCAUCAUUCCUCUGGUGUUGUCUCCAGACCGAGAUGAAGAUCUCAUGCGGCAGACUGAAGGACGGGUGCCUGUUUUCAGCCAUGAGGUAGUCCCUGACCAUCUGAGAACCAAGCCUGACCCUGAAGUGGAAGAACAGGAGAAGCAACUGACGACAGAUGCUGCCCGCAUUGGUGCAGAUGCAGCCCAGAAGCAGAUCCAGAGCUUGAAUAAAAUGUGUUCAAACCUUCUGGAGAAAAUCAGCAAAGAGGAGCGAGAAUCAGAGAGUGGAGGUAUGAUGGGACUGGUGGCUAAACAGAGAAGGAGAGGUAUAUAAGAUCACUGGAAUGGGAAUGGUUGUUUUGGAAGUAGUGAAGUUAGGACACAAGGGUGAACUGCUUUGGGGUUUGUAUCCAUUCUGUUAGCCUUUUGUAUUUAAGGCCAGCACUGAAGCAGUGGAGGAAAUGGGCAAAGUAAGAAGAGAGAAUUCUGAGAUAGGCUUGGGGGUCCUCUGGCUCUUUUUCUGGGCUGUGAGGGAGUCUAGAUGUUGCUGAAUUCAGAACUCCAAACCCUGGCACUCAUACUGGUCUUCCAGCUGCCACGUUCAGUCCUGCAUCAGAAGCAUACUUCAGGAUCCCCAUUACUUUUUCUUCAGGUCUCCGGCCGAACAAGCAGACCUUUAACCCUACAGACACUAAUGCCUUGGUGGCAGCUGUUGCCUUUGGGAAAGGACUAUCUAAUUGGAGACCUUCAGGCAGCAGUGGUCCUGGCCAGGCAGGCCAGCCAGGAGCUGGGACGAUCCUUGCAGGAACCUCAGGAUUACAGCAGGUGCAGAUGGCAGGAGCUCCAAGCCAGCAGCAGCCAAUGCUCAGUGGGGUACAAAUGGCUCAGGCAGGUCAACCAG